rnacentral:rRNA from 1 species
GAUUAACGCUGGCGGCGUGCAUAACACAUGCAAGUCGAACGAUGAAACUUAAAUGAUUUCUUCGGAAUGAACUUAAGUGGAUUAGUGGCGGACGGGUGAGUAACGCGUGAGUAACCUGCCUUACACAAGGGGAUAGCCGUUGGAAACGACGAAUAAUACCCUAUGAAACUAUCACUUCGCAUGAAGCGAUAGUCAAAGUGUUAGCGGUGUAAGAUGGACUUGCGUCUGAUUAGCUAGUUGGUGAGAAAAAAGCCCACCAAGGCAACGAUCAGUAGCCGGCUUGAGAGAGUGUACGGCCACAUUGGGACUGAGACACGGCCCAGACUCCUACGGGAGGCAGCAGUGGGGAAUUUUGCACAAUGGGGGAAACCCUGAUGCAGCGACGCCGCGUGAUUUAGAAGGCCUUCGAGUUGUAAAAAUCUUUUGUAUAGGAAGAAAAUGACAGUACUAUACGAAUAAGGUCCGGCUAAUUACGUG